GAUGACCUUGUUUUCCCUUCCCGUGAGGAACCCGGGCUGCAAUCCUGCAACCACACGGGGCAGGCCCACCUCCAAGGUUCCGAAAACCCGAGAGGAAACCCUCAAACGUUGCAAUAGCAUACUUCACCUCUUUGAGUAAGAUGCCUCCCUUCUCGGACAUCUCCUUGCUUCUAUUUCAGGCUCAGUACCUGCCUGCUAUCAGAAUAACAGACCUUGAGAACCUCCCUCCCUUCCCUGGACUAAAACAAGGGGGUCAUCCUGGAUCAUCUGUAAAGGCUCGGCUGGAAACACCUUGUAAGUUAAGAUGCAUUCAUACUAACGUGUGAAUGACUGCUUACCGCUGAAAAACUCAACCUCCAUCAUGAGAACUGCAACUUAACAAAGAAAAACAUUUCCAGUUAUAUUUGGACUAGAGAAAGGACAGUCCUGCAGCAGUCGUUUAGCAACAAAGGCUGGUCAUCAGGCUCCUUUAAGUGGCAAGGGAAAGAAGCUAAUAUUGAUUGGACAAUUUAUGUAUCUUUCCCUAAGAACAUCACAACCCUUACAACAUUGGAAGAGGGUGACCACCCAUUUUCAGACAAGAAAACUGAGGCUCAGAGGUGUUAAGGAACUCGGUCAAGGUUACCCAGUGGUUGAGUGGUGGAGACCUGAAUUGGGUCCAGGUGGCUGACCCCUCACUGUCCCCCUGCUUUCCACCCCAUGCAAGGGGCUUAAUGGACACCCUUCCAUCUCCACUCUCCAGCCUAGAAAGGUCUCCUGGACACAUUGAUUUUUGUGUGUGUGUUCUUAACGCAUUUGCAGAAUCUGAGACCCCGGCUGCAAAGAGGGGUCAGGAAUGAGAAGGCAGACUCCUUUCAGCAGCUCCGGUCUUGAGACUAUUUCCCGCCGUCUGCACUGCCUUCUUUGGUGCCUCCUUAUUUACCACCCACGGUAAUGGUUCAGCCACAUCUCCAGCUCAUCCAUUUCCAGAGCCCUGGUCAGAGGUGGGUCACGAAGGUGAGCACGGAAAUUGGUAGAUUCAGAGAGAUUAAUUUCCAGCCCUCCUCCUGAGUGCGAUGGUCGCUUAACUGACCUUCCUGCCUGUGGUCUCGAAGCCCCUCCCAGUGCAGCCUGUAAAAGGCUACAAAACGACAUGCCCUCAAGCACAAGCUGCAAAUCUUCAGUGGCCCCUUACUGCCAUCACAAGAAAUUCCCCAGAGCGUCUGUGGUUCAGCCACAAGCUGCAUUUCAAGUCUGAGCUCUCGCUGCCUCAUUUGCCCCACUCCCUGGGAAUGCGAGCCUAGCCUGUUGGCUGUAAGUGUUCUGUGCUCGCCUCCCCGCGGCCCGUGCCCUGUCCCUUGUUCCCAGUUCCCAGCCCAGACCGUCCUGCAGGUCCCCAGCCCGCCACAGAGCCGUCUCCCGUGGACAACGCUGAGAACCACGAGCCUCAUGUUUGUGCUGGUGACAUUGUCCUUGUCCCACCUGCUCUGGAUCUCUCCUCUCUCACCACUACCCCUGACCCUGACCCUCACCCCACUAAAGUCUGUGAGCUCCGAAGAGACGAUGACUUUUUAAAAUUCAUUUCAGGGUCCCUGAUCCUAGCAAAGCACCGGGCACGCAGUAGGUCUCAGUAAAUGCUUGUGAAUGAGGGAAGCCAAGUAAAAAGAACUCAUUAGCACGAACCAUCUCUUCCUCAGUCGAGCCCCACACAGACCCCGGCAGGAAGGAUUACCGCUUGGCGGUGGUCUUAGGGCUACAAUUUUGCUGUCAUACCCAAACGCAGUGCCUGAAAGCUUUUACUUUUUUUUUUUUAAAUAUAUUUUAUUUUAUUUUG